UACGGGGGGGGCAAGCGUUGUUCGGAAUUACUGGGCGUAAAGGGCGCGUAGGCGGUUCGCUAAGUUGGAUGUGAAAACUCUGGGCUCAACCCAGAGCCUGCAUCCAAAACUGGCGGGCUGGAGUUCUGGAGGGGGUAGCGGAAUUCCUGGUGUAGCGGUGAAAUGCGUAGAUAUCAGGAGGAACACCGGUGGCGAAGGCGGCUACCUGGACAGAAACUGACGCUGAGGCGCGAAAGCUAGGGGAGCAAACAGG
rnacentral:rRNA from 1 species